CCCUUAGAUGUCCGGGGCUGCACGCGCGCUACACUGAAGGAAUCAGCGUGCUAAAACCAUUGUCGAAAGGCAUUGGUAAACCCAUUAAAAUCCUACGUGAUUGGGAUCGGGAAUUGCAAUUAUUUCCCUUGAACGAGGAAUUCCCAGUAAGUGUGGGUCAUAAGCUCGCGUCGAUUACGUCCCUGCCCUUUGUACACACCGCCCGUCGCUGCCCGGGACUGAGCCGUUUCGAGAAAAGCGGGGACUGCUGCUGUCGGGGCUUUCGGGCCUUGGCUUCGGUGGAAACCGCUUUAAUCGCAGUGGCUUGAACCGGGCAAAAGUCGUANCA
rnacentral:rRNA from 1 species